rnacentral:rRNA from 1 species
AUUAUUGGGCGUAAAGAGCUCGUAGGCGGUUUGUCGCGUCUGCUGUGAAAGCCCGGGGCUCAACCCCGGGUCUGCAGUGGGUACGGGCAGACUAGAGUGCAGUAAGGGAGACUGGAAUUCCUGGUGUAGCGGUGAAAUGCGCAGAUAUCAGGAGGAACACCGAUGGCGAAAGCAGGUCUCUGGGCUGUAACUGACGCUGAGGAGCGAAAGCAUGGGGAGCGAACAGGAUUAGAUACCCUGGUAGUCCAUGCCGUAAACGUUGGGCACUAGGUGUGGGGGACAUUCCACGUUUUCCGCGCCGUAGCUAACGCAUUAAGUGCCCCGCCUGGGGAGUACGGCCGCAAGGCUAAAACUCAAAGGAAUUGACGGGGGCCCGCACAAGCGGCGGAGCAUGCGGAUUAAUUCGAUGCAACGCGAAGAACCUUACCAAGGCUUGACAUGGACCGGACCACCGCAGAAAUGCGGUUUCCCUUCGGGGCCGGUUUACAGGUGGUGCAUGGUUGUCGUCAGCUCGUGUCGUGAGAUGUUGGGUUAAGUCCCGCAACGAGCGCAACCCUCGUUCUAUGUUGCCAGCGCGUUAUGGCGGGGACUCAUAGGAGACUGCCGGGGUCAACUCGGAGGAAGGUGGGGACGACGUCAAAUCAUCAUGCCCCUUAUGUCUUGGGCUUCACGCAUGCUACAAUGGCCGGUACAAAGGGUUGCGAUACUGUGAGGUGGAGCUAAUCCCAAAAAGCCGGUCUCAGUUCGGAUUGAGGUCUGCAACUCGACCUCAUGAAG